AGGAGCAAGCAGCUUGAAGGU
rnacentral:miRNA from 1 species